UAGCGGAAGGCAGAACCAAGUCGAAAAUCGGCCGAGAAGUGCAAAUCUUGCCAAAUCCUGAUAUAAACAGAAAAAAAGGCGUGAUAUCCAAGACAAAAUUGCUCCGAAAAGGCGAUUUAAUGUUCGACCUUGGUGUCUCUUGUGGCGUUUCGAGGAUGCGUGUCCUUGGUGACUGAUACAUUGAUGCCUCGCGAACUAAGUAUGUUUUCGUGAUGCUCUUGUGACUGCCUGCUGCAGAUUCAUGAUUUUUCUGGAUUAUUUUUAUUCUGUCUUCCACUGGAGAAGUGAUAACAAUACCAAGACAAACGGAAAUCAAUACAGACAAACAGAGUACACGCAAGAUUAACAAUCAAGCCUCGCAUGAGGAGAGCAUGUUCCUUGGAGCUAUCAAGAGGGAAUGGUUCUACCAGCUUCGAAACAAUCUGAUCGAACAGUCAAUAACAAGAUGUACAUCCUGAAACCAAAAAUUCCGCUUCAAUACACCUGGGAUAUUCUUUA